rnacentral:lncRNA from 1 species
AGCUCCCUCCUCUCUGCAAGUGUCUCAAGGCCAAAGACAGACUGGUGGGAAAGUUCCGACCAGCAAAGCCAUAUGCUCCCCCUCCCCUACCUAAAACCCCAAAUAAAAACACUUCCUUUUAGCUUUUUCGGGGAGUUUGGGAUUUCAGCGUUAGCUGCCCUCUCUCCUUGCUCAGCGCUGUGCAAAAAUAAAGUUCCUACUUUCUUCCACCACCCCUGGUGUCAGAGAUUGGCUUGCUGUGCAACGGAGUAAAAAUCUGAACACUUGAAUUUUCUUGGGUGCCCAUGGAACAGCCUUUCUCUUGAGAUUCAGUGCCUACCUUCUGCCUUGAACUGCAGCUAAAGGAAAUGCUUUCUACUUCCCGUGAGAUGCUUCCAGGAAACUUUUGCUGAACAGUAACCAGUUGGUGUGAGCUCUUCUGGAGCCAUCCUCAUGCUGAAAGUAACUUGGUUGUCCCAUUUCGGUGUGUGAGAGAUGGCAGAAUGCCUACUUCCCUUCCCUCAGGUCACUUAUGGCUUAUAUUGUAGCUCUCAGAAGGAAUGUCUGUAAGGGACUGUCUUGCAACACUAAAGAGCAGGGGUUGUCUUGCUGGAAUUGAAGAAAAGGAGAGAACACUUCGGGCUGAGGGAACUACAUUGAGUAUUUCAGUGUAGCUGAUGUCCUGGUGAUGAGGCUGUGUAUGAGGGGAUUCUUCUGACUGUGGGGUAAAACAACAGUGUUCACUUGAGAAGACCUGUAAAGAGAGAGGCGCUGUCUCUGUUCUUCUACCUGGGACAGCAGUUCCAACCUGGAGAGCUCUCUGAUAGUGUACUCCACACCGACACCUCAGGGCACUUGGACAGAUCAAAGAGACAGUGCGCUUGCCAUGAAUUCCAGCCUCCUCAGCAUGACUAUAGCUGCAGAGGUAUUGAUCCCUAGGCACUCCCUAACAAACGUCCAUCUCAGAGUCUGCUUAAUACAGAACCCAACCUGGGAAACUCCGAAUUGACUUGCAGCCUGCAGAGGAGAAGACAGAAGAGGUCACCCAUGGAAGGUUUGAUCUAAAAGGGCUACAUAUUGCUUCCACUCACUUCAUUAGCUAAAACUCAAUCACCUGGUCAAGACCUUCAGCAUCUCAUUUUUAAGGAAUCAGAGAUACCCAAAAACAUUGGAUGCCUUAUCCAGGAUUAUAUAACUCAUUCUCUAACUCAGAUCAUUGGAUUCUUUGUCCUUCUGAAGAAAUAGUAUAGUUUUAUUUUUCUCUUUAGAUGAGAAGGACUACAUAACUGUCCAUCUCUUCCUUUUGUCUUUGUUUCAGGAAAGCUCAGAAACAAAUUCAGAAAUAAAUUAUAGCAACUGUGUAAUCC